UAGGAAGUGGUGUAAUGGGAACACUUGGAGUUUUGAUCUCCAUAAUAUGGGUUCGAGUCCCUUCUUUCUAA
rnacentral:tRNA from 8 species